GAAAAUGAGUAUGAGCCAAAUUAUUCUGGACACAAAAUUAAAAAAAGCCAACUAAAACCUCAACUAAUGCUGCAAUUUGUCAUCCAGCAAG